UACGGGGGGGCUAGCGUUGUUCGGAAUUACUGGGCGUAAAGGGCGCGUAGGCGGUCUGCUAAGUUGGAUGUGAAAACUCUGGGCUUAACCCAGAGCCUGCAUUCAAUACUGACAGGCUAGAGUCUGGAGGGGAUAGCGGAAUUCCUGGUGUAGCGGUGAAAUGCGUAGAUAUCAGGAGGAACACCGGUGGCGAAGGCGGGUCU
rnacentral:rRNA from 1 species